CCAAUAGCGUAUAUUAAAGUUGCUGCGGUUAAAAAGCUCGUAGUUGAAUUUCGGAAUUGAUGCAUCGGUCGUGCCUUAAGGGGCAUGAACUGCUGUAGCCAAUUUCUCACCUUCUGGUGAAUUGUUGAUGUUCUUAAUGGGUGUCUCAAUGAACUAGAAUUUUUUACUUUGAAAAAAUUAGAGUGUUUAAAGCAUGCAUUAAUUUGCUUGAAUACAUUAGCAUGGAAUAAUGAAAUAGGACAGUGGUUCCGUUUUGUUGGUUUCUAGGAUCACGUAAUGAUUAAUAGGGACAGUUGGGGGCAUUAGUAUUCAAUUGUCAGAGGUGAAAUUCUUGGAUUUAUUGAAGACUAACUAUUGCGAAAGCAUUUGCCAAGGAUGUUUUCAUUAAUCAAGAACGAAAGUUAGGGGAUCAAAGACGAUUAAGUACGUCGUAGUCCUAACCAUAAACUAUACCGACUAGGAAUCAGACGAUGUUAAUUUUUUAAUGACUCGUUUGGUACCUUACG
rnacentral:rRNA from 1 species